rnacentral:tRNA from 1 species
GGGGUUGUAGCUCAGAGGUAAAGCACUUGCCUACCAUGCAUGAGGCACUGGGUUUGAUCCUCAGCACCACA